CUACCAAGCAGCGUGCUGCUUCUUCGAUGUUUGUGUUGUCCUGAAGAGGAAGAGGAAGAGAUGUGAACAUCAACCCUGCAGUGGCAGUUCCAGCAAUGGUGCCUUUAGCGAGGUCCCAAACCAGCCCACAAAGCCGUUCUCUCUGCAGAAGGAGUCCAGUUUGGGCACCUGGGAAGCCAUCUGGUCCGACUUGUUGGCUAAGAGUACAGCUGGAACUGGUCUCCCGUGGCUCAGAGUCACCUGGGGGAAAGUUUGGUGUUUCAUAAUUCUUGUUCUCAGACGUUGGUUGGCUUGUGCAGGUACGUCCAGCUCCACCUUAGAAUCCAGGUCGUCCUUCCACUUCAGCACGGCAUCAAACGUGGAGGCCCUGG